rnacentral:rRNA from 1 species
GGGUUGUGAGGUUAAGCGACUAAGCGUACACGGUGGAUGCCCUGGCAGUCAGAGGCGAUGAAGGACGUGCUAAUCUGCGAUAAGCGUCGGUAAGGUGAUAUGAACCGUUAUAACCGGCGAUUUCCGAAUGGGGAAACCCAGUGUGAUUCGUCACACUAUCAUUAACUGAAUCCAUAGGUUAAUGAGGCGAACCGGGGGAACUGAAACAUCUAAGUACCCCGAGGAAAAGAAAUCAACCGAGAUUCCCCCAGUAGCGGCGAGCGAACGGGGAGUAGCCCAGAGCCUGAAUCAGUGUGUGUGUUAGUGGAAGCGUCUGGAAAGGCGCGCGAUACAGGGUGACAGCCCCGUACACAAAAAUGCACAUGCUGUGAGCUCGAUGAGUAGGGCGGGACACGUGGUAUCCUGUCUGAAUAUGGGGGGACCAUCCUCCAAGGCUAAAUACUCCUGACUGACCGAUAGUGAACCAGUACCGUGAGGGAAAGGCGAAAAGAACCCCGGCGAGGGGAGUGAAAAAGAACCUGAAACCGUGUACGUACAAGCAGUGGGAGCACAGAGCAAUCUGUGUGACUGCGUACCUUUUGUAUAAUGGGUCAGCGACUUAUAUUCUGUAGCAAGGUUAACCGAAUAGGGGAGCCGAAGGGAAACCGAGUCUUAACUGGGCGUUAAGUUGCAGGGUAUAGACCCGAAACCCGGUGAUCUAGCCAUGGGCAGGUUGAAGGUUGGGUAACACUAACUGGAGGACCGAACCGACUAAUGUUGAAAAAUUAGCGGAUGACUUGUGGCUGGGGGUGAAAGGCCAAUCAAACCGGGAGAUAGCUGGUUCUCCCCGAAAGCUAUUUAGGUAGCGCCUCGUGAAUUCAUCUCCGGGGGUAGAGCACUGUUUCGGCAAGGGGGUCAUCCCGACUUACCAACCCGAUGCAAACUGCGAAUACCGGAGAAUGUUAUCACGGGAGACACACGGCGGGUGCUAACGUCCGUCGUGAAGAGGGAAACAACCCAGACCGCCAGCUAAGGUCCCAAAGUCAUGGUUAAGUGGGAAACGAUGUGGGAAGGCCCAGACAGCCAGGAUGUUGGCUUAGAAGCAGCCAUCAUUUAAAGAAAGCGUAAUAGCUCACUGGUCGAGUCGGCCUGCGCGGAAGAUGUAACGGGGCUAAACCAUGCACCGAAGCUGCGGCAGCGACGCUGAUGCGUUGUUGGGUAGGGGAGCGUUCUGUAAGCCUGUGAAGGUGUGCUGUGAGGCAUGCUGGAGGUAUCAGAAGUGCGAAUGCUGACAUAAGUAACGAUAAAGCGGGUGAAAAGCCCGCUCGCCGGAAGACCAAGGGUUCCUGUCCAACGUUAAUCGGGGCAGGGUGAGUCGACCCCUAAGGCGAGGCCGAAAGGCGUAGUCGAUGGGAAACAGGUUAAUAUUCCUGUACUUGGUGUUACUGCGAAGGGGGGACGGAGAAGGCUAUGUUGGCCGGGCGACGGUUGUCCCGGUUUAAGCGUGUAGGCUGGUUUUCCAGGCAAAUCCGGAAAAUCAAGGCUGAGGCGUGAUGACGAGGCACUACGGUGCUGAAGCAACAAAUGCCCUGCUUCCAGGAAAAGCCUCUAAGCAUCAGGUAACAUCAAAUCGUACCCCAAACCGACACAGGUGGUCAGGUAGAGAAUACCAAGGCGCUUGAGAGAACUCGGGUGAAGGAACUAGGCAAAAUGGUGCCGUAACUUCGGGAGAAGGCACGCUGAUAUGUAGGUGAAGUCCCUCGCGGAUGGAGCUGAAAUCAGUCGAAGAUACCAGCUGGCUGCAACUGUUUAUUAAAAACACAGCACUGUGCAAACACGAAAGUGGACGUAUACGGUGUGACGCCUGCCCGGUGCCGGAAGGUUAAUUGAUGGGGUCAGCGCAAGCGAAGCUCUUGAUCGAAGCCCCGGUAAACGGCGGCCGUAACUAUAACGGUCCUAAGGUAGCGAAAUUCCUUGUCGGGUAAGUUCCGACCUGCACGAAUGGCGUAAUGAUGGCCAGGCUGUCUCCACCCGAGACUCAGUGAAAUUGAACUCGCUGUGAAGAUGCAGUGUACCCGCGGCAAGACGGAAAGACCCCGUGAACCUUUACUAUAGCUUGACACUGAACAUUGAGCCUUGAUGUGUAGGAUAGGUGGGAGGCUUUGAAGUGUGGACGCCAGUCUGCAUGGAGCCGACCUUGAAAUACCACCCUUUAAUGUUUGAUGUUCUAACGUUGACCCGUGAUCCGGGUUGCGGACAGUGUCUGGUGGGUAGUUUGACUGGGGCGGUCUCCUCCUAAAGAGUAACGGAGGAGCACGAAGGUUGGCUAAUCCUGGUCGGACAUCAGGAGGUUAGUGCAAUGGCAUAAGCCAGCUUGACUGCGAGCGUGACGGCGCGAGCAGGUGCGAAAGCAGGUCAUAGUGAUCCGGUGGUUCUGAAUGGAAGGGCCAUCGCUCAACGGAUAAAAGGUACUCCGGGGAUAACAGGCUGAUACCGCCCAAGAGUUCAUAUCGACGGCGGUGUUUGGCACCUCGAUGUCGGCUCAUCACAUCCUGGGGCUGAAGUAGGUCCCAAGGGUAUGGCUGUUCGCCAUUUAAAGUGGUACGCGAGCUGGGUUUAGAACGUCGUGAGACAGUUCGGUCCCUAUCUGCCGUGGGCGCUGGAGAAUUGAGGGGGGCUGCUCCUAGUACGAGAGGACCGGAGUGGACGCAUCACUGGUGUUCGGGUUGUCAUGCCAAUGGCACUGCCCGGUAGCUAAAUGCGGAAGAGAUAAGUGCUGAAAGCAUCUAAGCACGAAACUUGCCCCGAGAUGAGUUCUCCCUGACUCCUUGAGAGUCCUGAAGGAACGUUGAAGACGACGACGUUGAUAGGCCGGGUGUGUAAGCGCAGCGAUGCGUUGAGCUAACCGGUACUAAUGAACCGUGAGGCUUAACCUUACAACGCCGAAG